rnacentral:sRNA from 1 species
GCCGCGCCUAGGCUGAUCCCCGAAGACCCAGACACCCUGCCGGGCUGUGGCGCGGCACCUCUCGACAGGG